CGCUGGUAACCCUAGGAGCUAUUGUCCAUUCGCUGGUAACCCUAGGAGCCCCCGACCCCAGCGGCGGCCGGCGGUGGCGUGGGCGCGCGGCAACGACGGCCGGCACUGGCAGGGGCAGCGCCACAGCGGCUGCAGCCUAGCGCGCAACGAGCGCGGGCACGGGCAGGGGCGCAGGGCAGGAGGCAGGGCGGCCAGCGCCGGCGGCCGAGCAGGCUGCGGGGGCCAGCACCGGCGGCAGCGCGGAGCGCCCAGCGGCGGCGCUUGGCGAGGAGCGCCCUGCACCCAGCAGCAGCAGGCUGCAGGCGGCGGCGGGCCGGCGGCGCUUGCCUGGUCGGACAGAGGCAGGAGCAGCACUGCAGCACCAGCACAUGUUCUGAUUUGUUCAAACAUGAAGAGAAAGAAGGGUAGUAGUGCUGUUACUGAUCUGCUUUCUUUCUUGCAAAAGAGUGCCCCAAGAAAAAACAAACCGAGCCAGAGAUUGUUACUCCAUCUACUAAUGGUGAAAACUUGAUUAAGCUUGCUAAGUUCUAUCCUCGUGAUUUUACAUUUGAAGAAAUGAACCAACUUCCUUUUCAAUUGAAUCGAUAUAUCAAUGAAAUGAGGAAUGAUGACAACUUCUAAAAUUUGAGAAGUCUAGCAGAGUUAUCUAUGAUGCUAGUUAAAGAAGAAAAGAUUUCUCAAUAUGAUAUUGUUUACAAACUUCUCAAAUUGGUGCUACUUCUCCCUGUUGCAACUGCUGGUGUUGAGAGAAUCUUUUCUAUAAUGAACUUUGUCAAAAACAAGCUACGAAGCAAGAUGGGGCAGAAAUUUUUGAAUGGUUGCUCGGUCACAUUCAUUGGAAAGGAAUUCUUCUUCCAAGCUAAGGAUGAGGACAUCAUCUCUUAUUUUCAGGCCAUUUAGGAUCGAAAAGUUAAACUGUAGGCUGAAAUUUGUAAGCUUUCUUAUCAUUUGUUGUUUUAUCUUUUAUUUAUUUUACAUGUUUAUCGAACAAUUUUAAGUUAUGCUAUGAUAAUGCUAUGAUUUUGGUA